AUUGAACGCUGGCGGCAUGCCUUACACAUGCGAGUCGAACGGCAGCGCGGGAGCAAUCCUGGCGGCGAGUGGCGAACGGGUGAGUAAUACAUCGGAACGUGCCCAAUCGUGGGGGAUAACGCAGCGAAAGCUGUGCUAAUACCGCAUACGAUCUACGGAUGAAAGCAGGGGAUCGCAAGACCUUGCGCGAAUGGAGCGGCCGAUGGCAGAUUAGGUAGUUGGUGAGGUAAAGGCUCACCAAGCCUUCGAUCUGUAGCUGGUCUGAGAGGACGACCAGCCACACUGGGACUGAGACACGGCCCAGACUCCUACGGGAGGCAGCAGUGGGGAAUUUUGGACAAUGGGCGAAAGCCUGAUCCAGCCAUGCCGCGUGCAGGAUGAAGGCCUUCGGGUUGUAAACUGCUUUUGUACGGAACGAAACGGUCUUUUCUAAUAAAGAAGGCUAAUGACGGUACCGUAAGAAUAAGCACCGGCUAACUACGU
rnacentral:rRNA from 1 species